rnacentral:tRNA from 1 species
GGAAACGUAAUUUAAUGGCAAAAUUCUAGCUUGCCAUGCUAGUAAUGGGGGUUCGAUUCCCCUCGUUUCCUCCA